rnacentral:lncRNA from 8 species
UCCAACUUCAAAUAAACCCAAUAGAUCAGUAACUGAACUCAUUUGAUCAUGUCAAUGUGUGUGUUGUUUUGGGUUUUGAGAAUAUGAAAAUAUACAUAUUAAUGUCACUGAUGGAAUGAUAAGGUUUAGAGGGUCUACACCAGAAGUGAAUGGUUAUAGGAGGAAGGUAUAUAGUGUGAGCAAUUAAGCUUGGAAUGUGUUUAGUGCAGGGAAGUAAUUACAUGUGGAAGGCAUUGAUAAGGGGAGAGAGCCAUGGAUUAGUGAUGGAGGGGGGUUGAGGUCAGGUCAGGUCACUUUAGGGAGAAGUAAAAGUAUAUGGCCCGUAUCACUAGUGUCCUGCCUAGCAGUAAAGAACGAUGUUUGUACAGAUAUGGAGAAGGAGACUCAGCCUAUGAGGAACAGUUAAAUAUCAGUGCUUGUGUGAAACUGUUUUUGUCUAAUGCAGCUGUAUUGAUCCUCUGGGAAGAAUAAACAAGGUUAAGCUUUCAUAAUGUCUUUUCAGUUUUUUUACUCUGAGAAUUAGAACCUAACAGUUGUUAGGGUGAUGUUGCUUUUAAGCUUCUGCAUAUUUAGUUUUGGUUUUGUUUAUUUGUGUGUGUAUAGUUUAAAGUAACUCUGAAAAGUCAACAAGUUUAUUUGAUCAAUUAAUCACAUGAGUUCUCAUAUUUGAAAUAGCUGUGCUGUAGUUACCUAUAUUUUCAGGAAGUUUAAUGUAGGGUGGACCACAUGGACAGCUCCUUAGUGGUCAAUGAAAAUAAGGACAUUUUCUUCAGCGUCACUAAUGAUCUGUCACAACAUCAGACGUGAGUCUCCAUAUCCUCCUCUGUAGGUUUUUCUGUGUCCUACCAAGCACACAUCAGUUUUCUCACAUGACAAUCUUUGUGUGGAGUUCACUUCACUGACGGAAGAACGUGGAAAAUAUGUCUUUGUCUUAUAUUCUUCUCAUUUAUGUUGCCGGAGUUGCGGUAAAAGAAAGUUGUGCAGAUUCGGUUCCCACUCCCACUAUUGUAUUUUCCCCUGAUUACAUCAAUGUAGCUACACCUGUUACAGUACGCUGUGAGUCACCAGAAGGCACAGAGUGCAUUUUCUACAGAGAUCACGACCCCAAACCUAUAAGAACAGUGGAUUACAAGCAGGGUGCUUGCCAGUUCAAGUUGUUAUGGAAUGAGUUCAAAAAGUGGAACAAGACUGAAGUAGAUCUCAGCUGUGUAAUUCUACAGAACAGAGAAGAUAAAACGAUCAAAACCUCAAAACCUAGUGAUGCUCGAAGACUUAAUGUGGGUGAUCCAAUUGGAAUGCCCAGUGUUCAUGUGGAGAAGAUCGGGAAUUACCUCAAUCUUCGAUGUGAGUGCAAGGCUGGCACCUCAUGCUACUUUUAUCUGAACAAUGGUGACUCACACUUCAAAAAACUACCCUACAAAGACAAUGUCUGUGUGGGGAGAGUGGCAGAAGAGGAACUGCAGAGGAAGAGGAGCAGUGCUGGAGAGAUCUUCAUCACCUGUGCUGUGGAGCUGUUGGUAGAGGGUGAAGAUACUGUGACAUCACAGCGUAGUGAAUCCCUCGGUAUCACCAUAGAUGUUGUAAAUCCUCCAGGAGCUACUAGUUCCCCAUCAGCGUUCAGUUUAAUCAUAACUGGUCAGGAGGAGACAAGCAGCAAUGUCACAGCCCAAGGAAGAGUUUCUUCAGGUCCAGUGUUCCUCGUCAUCAUCAGUCUGGGUGCUGGUUCCCUUUUCCUGGUUCUGCUAGCUGGGUCUGUGCUGUGUGUUCUCCAACGCAAUUGUGGGGUUCAAUGCAGGCCUGUAAAUACUGGAAGCCCACCUGAGCAGCAAGACCAAACCCCACUUUGUGUCUGUGAGUAUGAGAGUUAACUAAACCACCACUGCCUUUAUCUUCUUUUGUUCAGUGUUUUAUUAUCCAUCAUUCUCUCAUUUCAAACAGAUUCUGUCAUCACAAAGCCGUCUAGGGAUGAGGUGAGUUGGUUUGAACCAGUGCAGUGUGAAGUAACCUAAUAUGCACUUUACUACCACGAUAUCAAGCAAUAUUGCCAAUAGCACCAAUGACAACCCUACUGUGCACACAGCUCAAAGUGACUUGAGCUCUCUCUUACAGGAAGAGGACAGUAGUCUGCAAUACACUACUGUGACAUAUACCAGUGACCGAGCUAGUCUUCAAUAUGCAACAGUGACAUCUACCGGUAACCAAGUUGGACCUGGGCGCAGCAAGAUCAAGUUUGAAAUAGCUGGAGAGUACGCCCUCUUAGCAGAAUCAUAGAAGAAGAAACAUUUUCUGGAUAACAUGUUUUGCCAUAGUUUACAGUUACAAUCCUGUCUUUUUUUCUUCGUAUUGGAUCAUAAUUUAGUCAUUGUACAAAAAAUACUGCCACAACAACAAAGACUAAAGAUAUCUACUCCUUUCUGAAAACAAGCAGCUUCAACUAUUUGCAUUUUAGGUUAAUAUAAAUAAAUUCAAAAUAAACUUUGUCUGAAAUAUAAAAUCAAUAUUUUCCUAAAUUGAGUUACCCAAUUUAGUCAGCAGUCACCAAUCAGUAGUCACCAAUCUAUUUCACUCCUUGACAAGAGUCAAUAGAGACACAAAGCCACAAGAGGGUAGAACACAUGUCAAACUUUGCUUGUUACAUCUCUACAUCUCUCUCUCCUUUUCUGAUCUCUCGCUCUCUACAUCUCUCUUUAACCAUGUCUGGUGUAAAUUAGUUUUCAGUGGUGGAAAAAGUACCCAACUGUCAUACUUAAGUAAAAGUAAAGAUACAUUAAUAGAAAAUGACUCAAGUAAAAAUGAAAGUCACCCAGUAAAAUUCUACUUGAGUAAAAGUCUAUAAGUAUUUGGUUUAAAAUAUACUUAAGUAUCAAAAGUGAAUGUACAACUAAUGUCAAAUUCCUUAUAUUAAGCAAACCAGAAUGCACCAUUUUCUUUUUUUUCUUAUUUUUUACGGAAGGCCUUGGGACCACUUCCACACUCAGCUAUCAUUUACAAACAAAUCAUGUCAGUUUAGUGAGUCCGCCAGAUCAGAAGCAGUAGGGAUGACCAGGGAUGUUCGGUUGAUAAGUGCGUGAAUUUGACUAUUUUCCUGUCCUGCUAAGCAUUCAAAAUGUAAUGAGUACUUUUGGGUGUCAAUGAAAAUGUAUGGAGUAAAAAUUACAAUGUUUUCUUAAGAAAUGUAGUUAACUAAAAGUAAAAGAAGUCAAAAAUAUGAAUAGUAAAGUAUAGAUACCCCAAAAAACUACUUAAGUAUUACUUUAAAGUAUUUUUACUUAAGUACUUUACACCACUGUUGGUUGAAAAAGUAUUUUUUGUUAUUAUCACGGUUCACUUACAGUAUGUGCCUUUACUUCCGCCUGAUGAUACACUACCUCCACAUUUCCUCUCCCUGCUUCCUGAUUUACAGAUCUGCUACUCUAUGGACCCAACCUCUUCCUGUAGUCUGUCAACAUCUGUUCCUCUCAGACCAAUUUCAUUCUCAUAGUGGGCUAUAAAUAGAUGUGCAAAGGUUUUAAGAUAUGAUUCAUUUAAACAAGUAUACUUAAACAAGUAUGCAUGUGUAAAUGAACACCUUUCUUGAUUUAUAAGUAAAUUAUUCAUGUGCAAAGCUUCAACUAGAGACUAAUGAAACCCACAUGAUAAUUGCAACAUUUAAAUAAUAUUUGAAAUCGUUUUUUUUUUUUGCAGUUAGAAGUGGUUCCUGCCAGUUAGGCCUGGUUAGGCCCAACCAAAUCUCGAAAACCCAUGAACAAAAUCUUGCAUGAACAUAACUCUCAUAACCCCUGUCUCCCAACAGAGGUAACAUGUUUGUAACUGAUCUUAGGACAGAAUAGGCCCACCCAGAUCAGUCUUAUCUACACCUGCAAUUGGAGCACAUUACACACCUAUGACAGCUACAGGUAUGAAAGUGUAUAUGAAAAUUAUGCACCAUCACAGAAGGGUCAUAGGUGGGAGAUAUUGUUUCACCAUAAAAGGAGAGAGGAGAGACACAAAAUACAGUGUGUCACUCUCACACUCACUACUGUGGCAUUGCCUGAGUCAUUAUCUACAGCCAACAGCUCCUGUGUAUAUUUCUAAAAACAUUUUUGAAAGCAUGUGAAAACAGUCGACCCCGAAAGCAAAUCUCAUUUCCAUAUAUCCUGUUUCACUUCUCUCUCUGCAUUAUGCAUAAUAACAGGUGGCAGGUUUGGGACCUUCAAAGAACUCCUAACCAUGAUCCAAUGAAUGUGCUGCUGGUGCCUUAUGUGUGAGUUUUGUAUUAUUAAUAAUAUAAUUAUUGUACUGUAUAAUAAAAUGUAAAAUAAUUUACUUUCAUAACAAUUUCCCUAAUUGUACUUUUGGUUGGAAUAACAAUGAACUACAUUUCUUGUAGUCUCUCUUGACCUACAAUUAACAGAUGCAGGUAUGUUUCUCCCCUUCUCUUGCUUGUUUUGUCAUUCAACAUUAGGGAUGCACUUUUGUGAUUUGCAUGGUUAUCAAUGGCAGGGAAAUAAAUGUUGAGCUCUUUAAGAAGG